rnacentral:rRNA from 1 species
UACGAGGGGGGCGAGCGUUGUUCGGAAUUAUUGGGCGUAAAGGGCGCGUAGGCGGUGCGGUAAGUCACCUGUGAAACCCCCGGGCUCAACUCGGGGCCUGCAGGCGAAACUGCCGUGCUGGAGUGCGGCAGAGGGGGAUGGAAUUCCGCGUGUAGCAGUGAAAUGCGUAGAUAUGCGGAGGAACACCGAUGGCGAAGGCAAUCCCCUGGGCCUGCACUGACGCUCAUGCACGAAAGCGUGGGGAGCAAACAGG